CUCCACAACAAAGGAGUGAUUUCACUGACUUCAUGACACAUGGCCUCUAGGAUUCUGUGACCAUUCCCAACUGGAGAAUAUAUUAAAUAAAGGAGCACUUGCUUUUUUUUUUGCCAGUUUUAUAAAGAAAAUUUAUUUAUUUUUAAAAAUAGAAAUGGAACCCAAAAUUAGUCUAAAAUGAAUGCAUGCACACAAAAUUGAAAAUACAGAUGUGAACCAAAUCCAAAUAACAGUAUCAUUUUUAUGCUGUUGAAACAGCAUAUUUUGAUGGCUACCUCAUAAGGAAUUUCAUAUUCUGGGGGAAAAGUGAAAUGUUUGAGACCCCCCCUUUUAUCCUCUUAAUACCAAAAGAGCUAGCCAUGAUAUUCUGCUUGCCUGGAGGAACCACAUAUUAAAAGGACGGCAGAGAAUUCAUCACCCUCAUUACUUCUUGUCAAACCUUCUUCCAGUCACCAUUAUCUGUGAACUCCGAAUUGGUGACCUACGAGUAAGAGAACAACAAGCCCUAAUGUCAGUGGUGGGAAGUACAAAUAGAAGAACCUAAUCGAGGAGGAAAUGCCUUCUGGUUGCUGCCCCCAGGUCAUUUUUGGCCACUGUGUGAUAAGUAAGGCCUCUUUUGGGUUAGUUCCAAGUGUAGUGUGGAAGAAGGCUAGCUCUAAAAUUAAUAUUCUGCUGAUCAUUUCAUGAAAACUGAGAAGGAAUGUAUUACCUUCUCUUCCUUUUUGGCCUUCUAUUCAGGAACGCAUGCCUUGAAGCAACUCUUAUUCUUGCAAGAGGAAGUUGAUCGUUACUCCAGUCCAGAAAAAAACUAGAACAAGUAGAUGUGCUGAAAGAAGCAUGAUCGUGGAGAUUAUCUGAAGGAUAUGAAAUCAAUUCAUUCCUCUAGAUAAUGUCACAAAAUAAGAUCAAUCUAGCACACAGACAUACUUUAUUUGGCCCACACAGUAUCUUUAAAAAUUUGAGCUGACAUUGAAAAAUUAUGAGAUUUCAAAUAUAGAAGGACUGAAACACUGUAUGGGUGUCCCCACAUGGCAACAUCUGCUAGAACUGAGAAAAUGGCAGCUGUGCCAUUUAAUUAGGGCAGGGGAUCUCCAGGUGGUCACCCUCCACACACGUCUGCCUUUGCAACGUCUACGAAUACUCUACAAUCAAUGAGGACCAGCAGAGGUCUGGAGGCUAGGACUGUAUCAGGCAUUGCCAUUUUACUCUCAGCAUUGCUUUUGCUGAUUUUAAUUUUGGUGGCUGGCAUCAGCCUACAUUUAGGGAAGCUAUAAAACAGCCCGAGAAACUCUGCAUUCAGCUAUAGUCAAGGGUGUGGAUUGCAUGUUCUUUACAAAGUGGAAUCUUCUAUGAGGACCCUUAGGAGAUUUUCUUCUGCCUCUGUUAAGAGGCCUACGUGUGCUUUCCCUAAGCAAUUGGUUCACUUUCUUCUUAUGUAAUAUCUUGUGUAUCUCAUCAGCUUAUCCUUUUAUUGGUCACUAUAAAGACUAAACACAAAUCUGCAACCCAUUCCUAGCAAUUAUAUAGAGUUCAAUGGUGUAUGUGCACCCUUGGCUGCAUCUGACAGUUGUCUUUUGUCUCAGCCUUCAUUGUCGCCUUACAUAAAAAGUAACGUUUAUUAUAUAUUAAUAGAGGAAAAUAAAAAGGGGAUAGCAAAAGUAGAAUAUCUGGAGAACUCCUCUUGAUAUUAAUUUUUAAAGAAAAUAUGCUGCCAAAGUUAGGAAAUCCAAAUAGUAUAGAGAAUAAGUUAAAAAUCUCCUGGGGUGCCUGGCUGGCUCAGUCGGUAGAGCAUGUGGACUCCUGAUCUCAGGGCUGUGAGUUAAAGCCCCACAUUGGGCCUGGAGCUUACUUUAAAAAAAGAAAAAGGAAAAAUCCCCCUCCUUACCUGCAGUUCCUUUCCUCAAAGGUAACUACCUGCAGAGGCACACAUAUAUUUAAAUGUUAGGGUAAAAAUAUGUCAUUAAGGCUGAAGAAAGAAGUUCCCUUUCAGAUACUUAGUAUUUUCUGGGAAAUAGUUUAUAUAUAUAUUUAUAAAGAAUUUUACUUUCUUGCUCUGAAUCCCGUAAUUCUUUUAUAAUAAUCUAGAGCACUAGAUUUUCUUUCAGGUAAAAAAAGAGACUUCACAAAAAUAUUAUUCAUACAAUUUAUUAAAUUGUCCUUAUAGGACAAUUAGGAAAAUAAGCAUACUAACUACAAAAUUGAUGAUACUAAAAAGUUACCAUUGUUUUUGCAUCUGUAAUAAUAAUUUUGUGAUCAUGUUUAAAUGGUGGAGUCCUUACUUUUAGACAUGUGUACUAAAUAUUUACUUAGGACUUCAAGUAAUUUGAGGCAUAGUAGAAAACAAAACUGGUGAAUUGAUAAUUGUUAAAACUGGGCGAUGGGUAUAUAGAUUUUAUAAUACUGUGAUAUUAUUAUGUAUGUUUAAAACUUUCCAUAAUAAAAAGCUUAAAGACCCUGAGAUCAUGACCUGAGCUGAAACCAAGAGUCAGAUGUUUAACUGGUUGUGCCACCCAGUUGCCCCUCUUUGAAUAUAUUUUUUUUUAACAUUACCCUAGAAAAAUAUAAAGUUCCUUAAAGUAUCAAAAACAUCCUUUUACAGUUCCAGCAUGCAAGUACUUUUUUAUCUCAGUUUUAUUGAAAUAUAAUUUACAUACCAUAAAAUGUACCCUUUUAAAGUAUACCUUUCGGUGGCUUUUCAUAUUUUCACAAAUUUGUGCAAUCAUUACCACUAAUUAUAGAAAUUUCUUAUCACCCCAAAAAGAAACUCCAUACCAUUAGCAAUCCAGCCUGAGAUCUGUUUGCAGACUCACUCCACUGUAAUCUGACUCUUUCUUUCAAAAUGUCAAAACCAGUAAACCCUCCACUCUUCUGCACAGAGAUCUAAUUAUUUCUAAGCACUUUUCCUUUCCUAUCAGAAGAAUAACAUCUCAAAUGUAGCACUUUCUUCUCAUCUCCUCAUCACAUCUAUAUUAUAAAAAAUAUGAGUCACCUUGUCUAAGAGACUGCAAGUAUAGAUAGGCUUCCUGAAACAUUAUGUAUCCCCACUCACAGAUGAUGGAUCUAGCCAAGGGAAUGUGAGCAGAUAUGAUAUACAUAAUGUCUGAGUAGAAGCUUUAAAAGACA